rnacentral:rRNA from 1 species
ACGAACGCUGGCGGCAGGCCUAACACAUGCAAGUCGAACGCUCUAGCAAUAGAGAGUGGCAGACGGGUGAGUAACGCGUGGGAACCUUCCCAAUGGUACGGAAUAGCUCAGGGAAACUUGAGGUAAUACCGUAUAAGCCCCUAGGGGGAAAGAUUUAUCGCCAUUGGAUGGGCCCGCGUCGGAUUAGCUAGUUGGUAGGGUAAUGGCCUACCCAAGGCAACGAUC